rnacentral:rRNA from 1 species
UAUAUGGCAAAUGUGAGAUGCAGUGUAUGGAGCGUCAAUAUUCUAGUAUGAGAAAUUAACGAUUUAAGUCCUUCUUAAAUGAGGCCAUUUACCCAUAGAGGGUGCCAGGCCCGUAUAACGUUAAUGAUUACUAGAUGAUGUUUCCAAAGAGUCGUGUUGCUUGAUAGUGCAGCACUAAGUGGGUGGUAAACUCCAUCUAAAACUAAAUAUAACCAUGAGACCGAUAGUAAACAAGUACCGUGAGGGAAAGUUGAAAAGAACUCUGAAUAGAGAGUUAAACAGUACGUGAAACUGCUUAGAGGUUAAGCCCGAUGAACCUGAAUAUCCGUUAUGGAAAAUUCAUCAUUAGAAUUGUAAUAUUUAAUAAAUAUUAUGAUAAUAGUGUGCAUUUUUUCCAUAUAAGGACAUUGUAAUCUAUUAGCAUAACAUUAUUUAUCAUAAAAUAUGGCUUAUAGUUUAUUCAAAUUAUUAUGCUUGCAUUUUAACAUAGAAUAAAUGUCAUUAAUUUGAUAAAGUGCUGAUAGAUUUAUAUGACUACAGUGCGUUAAUUUUUCGGAAUUAUAUAAUGGCAUGAUUAUCAUUGAUUUUUGUGUUUAUUAUAUGCACUUGUACGAUUAACAAUGCGAAAGAUUCAGGAUACCUUCGGGACCCGUC